GUGCUCCCGCCAUGUUGCCCCGGGAGACGGCAGCGGGAGGCUUGCGCCGCGUCUCCCAAAGGCCGGCGCGCGGUGAUUGUUCAGGGCGCGACAGCUCGGGCAGGCGACGCGGCAGCCUCGGCGCUCCUGCUUCCCAGGCUGUGAAAUGGGCCCCAGGCUGGCUCCUCACUUGGUCGCCGACUCCAGCAACCGUGCGGCGCCGUCUGAGCCGCCCUCUGCCCAAAGGUGCAUCCGGCGGCGGCGUCAGGACCAUGGCGGCCGGCGGAAGGUUCCUCUCCGUUCUUGCGCGUCCCUUAUGUCUUCCCGACCUUUCGAAGGACGCCCCGUCGUGGGCUGCGCGGUGCCCGUCCUUCUCUUGCACGGUUUCACCGUGAAGGGAAGAAAUGCAAUAUGUAUAGUUAUUCGUGGAGUACGUUUGGAGCCUCGACAGGCCGUGCCCCGUCUACGCUGGCAGCGCCUGUCUCCGCCGUGAGCUCUUGAUUGAUGGCUGACGCCGGCUUCCCGCACGGGCUGCAGAACGUGGCUCAGCUGAAGAAAGAAACAAUUAAAAAGAAAAUAGAACUUGUCCAGUUCUUAUCAUACAGAGGUAUUCAAAUGAACAAGUUAACAUGUCACUAAAAUUACAAAGAUUAACUGAGAAACUCACAAUUUCUAGCACAAAAAGUAACAUUUUGAGUAUUUAUCAGGACCUGUGUGUGAAAAAACUGCCAGAGGCUGGGGAAAGAACCACUGGAAAGAAUUUGAGGUAAUGAUGCCCAUGCUCAAACAGCUUGUCCUCACUACUCAAACUAGAACACUUACCGUUCAUGGGACGUUGGGUGGAGAAUACAGAAGGAUCUUGCCCUAAAAGUGUGGAAUGAUUAGCCCUAGAUUGAGUACUGUUCUGAUACUACCUAGGAAAGCUUAAGGGCAACACCAGAAAUCAGUUUAUUGAUCUGUGCACAUGGGAGAGGCAUCAGUUCAAAAGCAUUUGAGGGGCCUUGCUUAAAGUCACUUAUGUUGAUUUUGUAUCUAGCCACCUUAAUAAACUCUGACUUUAGACUUAAUAAUUUUUCAGUUAAUUCUUCUAAGUAGGCAAUCAUUUCAUGUGCAAAUAAUGACAACUUUUUCUGUUUCGCUCCAAUAUUCAUAAUUUUUUCCUGUGUAUUGCAUUGCCUGGAGUCUUCAGAACAAUAUUGGAAUACAGCAUUCUUGGUUUUGUUCCAGACCCUAAUAGGUUUGCUUUUAGUGUUUUACCAUACAUGUGGUGUUUGCCAUUACAUUCCACCCUUCAUUAGCUUAAUGGUAUUUGUUCUCUUCCUGGCUCACUCAUUUUUUAGAAAUUAAGAAUAGGUGUUAAACAUACCAAACACCUUUUCAGUAUCUAAUAAUAUAAAGCUUUUGAUAUAUUGAAUUACAUUAAUAGAUAUCCUAAUGUUGAGCAUCCCUGUGUUUCUAGAAUAAUCUCCACUUGGUCAUGGUACGUUAGUUUUAAUAUAUACUGAUAUAUAUGGUUUGCUAAUAUUUAUUUAGAACCCCCUCACGUAUAUUAAUGAAAUUAAUAUAAAUUAAUUUAUAAAAAUUUCUUUCUGAGGCUCAUCUUACCCAGUUUUGGAUAAGAGUACUAGAGUAUUGCUAAUAAGUUGGAGAGCUUUCCAGCUUCUCCUGUGUUCUAGAAAAGUUUAAAUGACAGAGAAAUGAUCUUAAAAGAUUCGAUAAAAUGUAGUUGGUGUCUUUUGAGUGGUUAAAAUCUUUACCGUUUCUGUUUCUUCUCCGCUGUUAACUUAUUGAAGUUUUCCACUCUUCCCAGGUAAAUUCUGAUUAAUUUUAUUUUCCUUAAAAUUUUCAUCUAGGCCUUCAGAUUCAUUUGAUAAGCAGCACAUGGUUUUAUCACCUAAGGUUUUAGAUGACAGGCCACCGGUGCAAAUCUGGCUAAUUUUAGUAAAAGAAAAAUUCGUUCGGAAGACAGUAGGGUGUUCGCAGUACUGACAGGG